rnacentral:tRNA from 1 species
GGCCUGUUAGUCUAGUGGUAUGAUUCUCGCUUAGGAUGCGAGAGGCCCGGGUUCAACUCCCGGACGGGCCC